UCCUGGUGGGGGUAAUCAAGGGUCUCUAACCCAAGGUCAUUUUUCAAAGAGUUGGUUUAUUCCUUUUUUUUUUCUUUAAUAUUUAUUUGUCUUCUCUAGGUCUUGAAUCCCAGGGACGGGGGAGCCUGGUGGGCUGCCGUCUGUGGGGUCGCACAGAGUCGGACACGACCGAAGCAACUUAGCAGCAGCAGCAGCAGCAGGUCUUAAUUACAGCAUGCAGAUCUUUAGUUGUGGCGUGUGAACUCUGAGCUGUGGCGUGUGGGGUCUAGCUCCCUGACCAGUUACCAGACUGGGGCUCCCUGCAUUAGGAGCAAGGAGUCUUAGCCAUUGGACCACCAGGAUGUCCUAGUUUAUUCUUUUGUGUUUGUGACCUGAGGCUCUAAAACGUACCCAGACUACAUUUCUCCCCCCUUGUUCUCUGAUUCUAUGCCCAGCAGUGGUUUCCAGAUCAUAAGAUAUUAUACAAAUUCAAGUAUAGCAGAGGAGACUAAGCCUGGGAACUCCUGAGUGUCCAGGUGAUCAUUCGGUUGGGGGAUACACCUUGGUUUCUGUGUUGCUUAGAACUGCAUCUUGCUGGUGGUUGAGUAUCAUUCUGGGAUUUGUCUCCUAGGUGGCCAAGCCUUGGGUAUCUCUAAGGAGUUUCAAGUGGAAAACCACGGAAGUGGCUGUAUGCAUUCAGACGGCUGGGUAACCUGCAGGACGGGUGCAGCCUCAGGACCGGCGGCCCAGCCUCCACCGUCCAGCUCAGUCCUUCUGUGUCCCUGGUGAUGUGACACCACAUUCACUCAAUAAGCUCCUUGAGCUUUUCAGUUUUAACAAAAGCCACAGCCUUCCUGGACUUUUCUUUUAUGGACCUAGUACAUAACCCUGCUGUACGUCUGCUGGGAUGUUUUGAAAUUGACAGCCCUCCUGCUUUCUCUUUUAACCAAACUCCACUCCUGUUGUUGAUCAAGGCUGGCUUUGCCUGAAGGUCUGUGUGCAGAGCCAGUGGGAUCCUGGACAUUCAGUCUACGAGGAAAACCCACAUGGUGUUUUCAGAUUCAUUGUCUUUCUACAUUUAGAAGCUGAUGAUGAUUUUCCAUUCUUCAGCAAAAUGCUAUGGGAUUAUUUUGGUAAUCAAAUGUUUGUUGUUGGGAAUGAAUAAAUUGUUCUCAUCACCAGAUUUGGU
ensembl:lncRNA